UGCAUGUCUAAGUACAUGCCGUAUUAAGGCGAAACCGCGAAUGGCUCAUUAAAUCAGUUAUGGUUCCUUGGAUCGUACCUUACUACUUGGAUAACUGUGGCAAUUCUAGAGCUAAUACAUGCAGCAGAGCUCCGACCCUCAGGGGACGAGCGCUUUUAUUAGACCAAAACCAAUCGGACCUCGUGUCCGUCUCUUGUGGUGACUCUGUAUAACUUUGGGCUGAUCGCACGGGCCCGUCCCGGCGACGUAUCUUUCAAGUGUCUGCCUUAUCAACUUUCGAUGGUAGGUUACGCGCCUACCAUGGUCGUAACGGGUAACGGGGAAUCAGGGUUCGAUUCCGGAGAGGGAGCCUGAGAAACGGCUACCACAUCCAAGGAAGGCAGCAGGCGCGCAAAUUACCCACUCCCAGAACGGGGAGGUAGUGACGAAAAAUAACAAUACGGGACUCUUUUGAGACCCCGUAAUUGGAAUGAGUACACUUUAAAUCCUUUAACGAGGAUCCAUUAGAGGGCAAGUCUGGUGCCAGCAGCCGCGGUAAUUCCAGCUCUAAUAGCGUAUAUUAAAGUUGUUGCGGUUAAAAAGCUCGUAGUUGGAUCUCAGUUCCAGACGGGUGGUCCUCCUUACGGUGGCUACUGCCUGUUCUGAACAGCCAGCCGGUUUCUCUUGAUGAUCUUCACCGGUUGUCUUGGGUGACCGGCAAGUUUACUUUGAAAAAAUUAGAGUGCUCAAAGCAGGCGUGACGCCUGAAUAAUGGUGCAUGGAAUAAUGGAAUAGGACCUCGGUUCUAUUUUGUUGGUUUUCGGAACACGAGGUAAUGAUUAAGAGGGACAGACGGGGGCAUUCGUAUUGCGACGCUAGAGGUGANAUUCUUGGACCGUCGCAAGACGAACUACUGCG
rnacentral:rRNA from 1 species